UUCCCAUCUCGAACACAGUAGUUAAGCUCAUAAACGCCGAAAGUACUUGGCUGGAGACGGCCUGGGAGGAUAGGAAGCUGCUGAUU
rnacentral:rRNA from 2 species